rnacentral:rRNA from 1 species
UAAAGGGGGGAGCUUACCAUGCAAGUCGAACGGCAGCACGGACUUCGGUCUGGUGGCGAGUGGCGAACGGGUGAGUAAUGUAUCGGAACGUGCCCAGUAGCGGGGGAUAACUACGCGAAAGCGUAGCUAAUACCGCAUACGCCCUACGGGGGAAAGCAGGGGAUCGCAAGACCUUGCACUAUUGGAGCGGCCGAUAUCGGAUUAGCUAGUUGGUGGGGUAACGGCUCACCAAGGCGACGAUCCGUAGCUGGUUUGAGAGGACGACCAGCCACACUGGGACUGAGACACGGCCCAGACUCCUACGGGAGGCAGCAGUGGGGAAUUUUGGACAAUGGGGGAAACCCUGAUCCAGCCAUCCCGCGUGUGCGAUGAAGGCCUUCGGGUUGUAAAGCACUUUUGGCAGGAAAGAAACGUCGCGGGUUAAUACCCCGCGAAACUGACGGUACCUGCAGAAUAAGCACCGGCUAACUACGUGCCAGCAGCGGCCGGUAAUA